AUUUGUCUGGUUAAUUCCGAUAACGAACGAGACCUUAACCUGCUAACUAGAUACUUUUAUUCUAUAAUUGUCAUCUUCUUAGAGGGACUAUGUAAAUCAAUUACAUGGAAGUUUGAGGCAAUAACAGGUCAGUGAUGCCCUUAUAUGUCCUGGGCUGCACGCGUGCUACACUGAUGCAUACAACAAGUGCCUAGCCAGAUAUGGUAUGGCAAUCUCGAAUAUGCAUCGUGAUGGGGAUAGAUCUUUGCAAUUAUAGAUCUUGAACGAGGAAUUCCUAGUAAGUGCAAGUCAUCAUCUUGCAUUGAUUAUGUCCCUGCCCUUUGUACACACCGCCCGUCGCUCCUACCGAUACCGGGUGAUCCGGUGAACCUUUUGGACUCCGUAUGGGGAAAGAUAAGUAAACCAUAUCACCUAGAGGAAGGAGAAGUCGUAACAAGGUUUCCGUAGGUGAACCUGCRGAAGGAUCA
rnacentral:rRNA from 1 species